CUAUGAUCAGUAGGAAUAUAAUUUUUGAUGAGAAGAGUAUCUUGAAGAAGCUGGGAGUUACUGAUGAAGCUGAAAAGUUAGCACAGGACAGCAUUGGACAGCACUCGCAUACAGGUGAUUUACUAUCAACUUCUACCUCUAAUCAUGUUCAUUUUGAGGUAGAGAUGAGCAGGCAUGUUACCACACCUAUAAAGUACCAGCA
rnacentral:lncRNA from 1 species